rnacentral:rRNA from 1 species
GAUGAACGCUGGCGGCGUGCCUAAUACAUGCAAGUCGAGCGAAUGGAUUAAGAGCUUGCUCUUAUGAAGUUAGCGGCGGACGGGUGAGUAACACGUGGGUAACCUGCCCAUAAGACUGGGAUAACUCCGGGAAACCGGGGCUAUUACCGGAUAACAUUUUGAACCGCAUGGUUCGAAAUUGAAAGGCGGCUUCGGCUGUCACUUAUGGAUGGACCCGCGUCGCAUUAGCUAGUUGGUGAGGUAACGGCUCAACAAGGCAACGAUGCGUAGCCGACCUGAGAGGGUGAUCGGCCACACUGGGACUGAGACACGGCCCAGACUCCUACGGGAGGCAGCAGUAGGGAAUCUUCCGCAAUGGACGAAAGUCUGACGGAGCAACGCCGCGUGAGUGAUGAAGGCUUUCGGGUCGUAAAACUCUGUUGUUAGGGAAGAACAAGUGCUAGUUGAAUAAGCUGGCACCUUGACGGUACCUAACCAGAAAGCCACGGCUAACUACGUGCCAGCCGCCGCCGUAAUAC